GUUACUGGCUCAGCAGGAGAUAGUAUUUAUGAUGCCAUAAUGCUAUAAAACACUGAAAACUGACUUAACCAAAAAACGGUGAUAUUCGGAGAAAAAGGUAAAGGAGAAGUGCAAAGGGGGCUCUGGUGCUUGUGAAAAAGCUGAAGUCCCCCUGCUCCAUCCUAGCAGGUCCAAAGAUGGUAAGAUUAAGGGUGAGGGACACAUCAGUCACAUGCUUGAGGUUACAGAGCAGAAGGCCAAGCUUAAGACUCUUUCCACUACCCUAUCUCUCCUUCACAGCCCACUGGUUUGGGCUCCAGAAUGUACUUUUGCAUCCAUUUUGUCAUCCUAUCCAUGAAGCGGGAGAGACAGAAUGAUCUCUACCUGACAGAUGAAGAAUGAAAGCUGAAAGUCAGAGGAGAAUCAGAGACAGCGAAGGCUUCAGGACUGACUGCCAUUUCAGCCAACAUGAUGGAUUAAAUAUCCCCAAACCUUCCUGCCAUCACCCUAGCAAAUAUGUCGAAUGCAUGCCUGAGCUUAAGAGCCCGCAUGGGAAGUUUUCUGAGAUCAAACAAGCACAAGUCCGGCAAGAUAAGAUAAGCACCAGAAGGCUUAAAGACAUUUGCCAUUUAAUGAUACAAAGCUACUUUAAAGUUAACUGUCUAAAAUCACAAAUAAAGAAAAAAUGUGUG